rnacentral:rRNA from 1 species
AUUGAACGCUGGCGGCAGGCUUAACACAUGCAAGUCGAGCGGUAACAGAGAGAAGCUUGCUUCUCUGCUGACGAGCGGCGGACGGGUGAGUAAUGCCUAGGAAUCUGCCUAGUAGUGGGGGAUAACUUGCCGAAAGGUAAGCUAAUACCGCAUACGUCCUACGGGAGAAAGGAGGGGACCUUCGGGCCUUUCGCUAUUAGAUGAGCCUAGGUCGGAUUAGUUAGUUGGUGAGGUAAUGGCUCACCAAGACCGCGAUCCGUAACUGGUCUGAGAGGAUGAUCAGUCACACUGGAACUGAGACACGGUCCAGACUCCUACGGGAGGCAGCAGUGGGGAAUAUUGGACAAUGGGAGGGAACCCUGAUCCAGCCAUGCCGCGUGUGUGAAGAAGGUCUUAGGAUUGUAAAGCACUUUAAGUUGGGAGGAAGAGCAGUUAACUAAUAUUUGACUGUUUUGACGUCACCGACAGAAUAAGCACCGGCUAACUUCGUGCCAGCCGCCGCCGUAA